GGCUGGAGGGUGCGACGCCAACUGCCGUCACACAAACACACAUCUCGGGAAUCAACGAAAUUAUGGGAGGCACGCUCCUGGCGGUGUUAUUACAAGCGCUCCUCCUCGAAGCUGCCCGCACUGGACCCCAGCAGGGAACAGAAACUAUGGCCAACAAAAUAACAACAUCACUCACGAAUGGAUUCCUGCACCCGUCAGCAACCCUCAUUUUCUCCUCUGAGAGAGAAAGAGGGAGAGGGAGCGCAGGUUAGUCACCCUACCCCCCAUCAGCUGCGCACGGCAAUGGAGAAUAUUUUUUUUUAAUAUUUAUAGCAUUUAAAAGCCAAACUCCAUAGAGUUUUCCAGAAAGAGGAAGUGAAAUACCGAGUUAGGGCAUAGAUAUAAUUUAUUUUUAAUCAUUGUUAUCUUAUUGAAAGUUAAUAAUAUCUCAAUCUCUCCUCUUCCCCUCAUUCUGCAUUAUUAUCCCCUUCAGUCAACAUCAACAUCUCUCCUACAUAUAGUCUUUUGUUCGUAUUGUUGCGAAUAGAGAACAUACACAUUCAGUACACAUCCAACAUGCUUCUAUCUCGUCGAGACAUCUAACAGACAGACGUUCAGAACAUUCUAGAAAUAAUAUUAGAUUUUAGUUUUUAUAAAACUCUCUUCUCGUGGAAUUUUCAUGCGUCUCUUAUCUCUAAUCUUUCAAACUGCUUAUGCAUUUAAACUAAACUCAUUCCUGUCGUUAUCAUGUUUAUUGAUUGAUGAUAGCGGCAUUCAUCUAUCUUUCAGCUUUGGGGAAUAAGCUAUGAAUAUUCUUGUUUCUUCCGCAGUGUUAUUCACUACCCUUAAGUCUUUCAUUAGUGUAAGGUGUAGUUAGUUAAGGCUU